rnacentral:rRNA from 1 species
GACGAACGCUGGCGGCGUGCCUAAUACAUGCAAGUAGAACGCUGAAGGAGGAGCUUGCUCUUCUGGAUGAGUUGCGAACGGGUGAGUAACGCGUAGGUAACCUGCCUGGUAGCGGGGGAUAACUAUUGGAAACGAUAGCUAAUACCGCAUAACAGUAGAUGUUGCAUGACAUUUACUUAAAAGGUGCAAUUGCAUCACUACCAGAUGGACCUGCGUUGUAUUAGCUAGUUGGUGGGGUAACGGCUCACCAAGGCGACGAUACAUAGCCGACCUGAGAGGGUGAUCGGCCACACUGGGACUGAGACACGGCCCAGACUCCUACGGGAGGCAGCAGUAGGGAAUCUUCGGCAAUGGACGGAAGUCUGACCGAGCAACGCCGCGUGAGUGAAGAAGGUUUUCGGAUCGUAAAGCUCUGUUGUAAGAGAAGAACGAGGGUGAGAGUGGAAAGUUCACACUGUGACGGUAUCUUACCAGAAAGGGACGGCUAACUACGUG